ensembl:snRNA LOC120101221 U7 small nuclear RNA
AGGUGAACACAGCUCUUUUAGAAUUUUUUUUUCUAACAGGAUUUCUGAUUAGGGUCAGAAAAUCCACA